UUUUGUUGCUGCUUGCUUCACAGAUUUGAGCAACUUUCCAGAAACCUCAACCUCAACCCUCUUACAUGCGCUUCGCACACACGCACACUAGCACACACACGCAAGGUCUCUCGCUCCAUCUCCCUCUUUGCCGUGCGCGCGCUACACCAUUGGCCGGGGGCCGUUGCUGUGAUUGACACCUCAUAGGAGGGCCAUUUUAAUAUUCAAGCACAAGAAAAUGCAAAAUUUCUGAAAAUUUACUUUCCUUUGCAUUAGUUCUCAUUUACUUCAAAUUUCAUUUCUAAAAUAUUUCGUAACAAAAAAAAAUUAAACAGCAGUUUCUCUAUCAUGUUAGUGUAAAUAUUUUCCCUUACUUUAUUUUUGCUUAAAUAACAUCAAAAUCUUGCACUGAACAACACUGUACUGAACAAAUGCAAUCCAUGAAUACAUUUAUUCUUGCCAGACAUCUGACAAACGCUUCUGCUCACAGCGCUGAGCCACAUUUAUCCAAGAUGCCGCUUGACGCGCAUCGGACGCGUUUCGGUGGUUUAAAUCGACGGUCGCGACUUGCGUGAGUGCUUUUACUUUAAUUUAGGCAAGCGCGCUCAUAAUAGAAGCGACGCAGUCAGGACGCCCAUGUGGUGCGGCGCGCUCGUUUUUCCAGGCGCGCUUAUGCCACCGCAAGAUGAAAACAUCUCAACUUUUCAUGUGACAAGGACCAACCGAUGAGCUUCGGCCUUAACAACAUGUCCUUAACAACAUUGAAAGCUCAGCCGAACUGAUCAUAGUUCUAUCUCCAUAAAUAUAGUAGUAGAGCUAUUGCAAGGACUAGAAAUCCAUUUUUCUUUUGCUGAAACCGUGGAGAGCGUAGUUCAUGGUUCCAUAGCAACGACAGACGCCACGGGAGCGCAAGCGCUUUGAAAAGAAGGAGAAAGCGGUGCGGCCGCUCAUGUGACGCGAUAUCUGUGAAUGUCCCCUUAGAACGGCGACUUUUUCUUUGCAUGUGGAAUAUGGUAUGAGACAACAAGAGAAUAAUAAUUUAGCGGGCCAGAUUAUGUUUUAUUUUUGAGAUCAGUUGCGGGCCGGUAGUGUGAGACCACUGCACGGUUUGAAACUGUCUCGCAUGCGCGCUCUUGCUCGCUCGCUCGCUCUAGAUUCCGGGAGAUUUUAACUAAUUUGCGGGCAUCAGGGAGCCGCUAUCAAUAUGCGGGAGACUCCCGGAACUUCCGGGAGACUUGGGAUGUCUGUCUUUGUCAGACCACCGACCAACAAAAAAUUUACGCAAAACUGAGCGAACUCACCAUAUGAAGCUUCCUCAAAGUGCACUGAUCCAUAACAUUCCAAUAAAAACGGUGUAGUUAUUCUGUAAAGGGUCCAGGCUAUCCAAUUCAGUGAAAUAUUUUGUCAAUAAUACGUGUUUAUGUCAAUAAACAUCCAUGGAGCAGAGUGGUAUCAUUUCACGUUAGCCGGCAAUGCUAUUAUAGCUAUUACACUUUCAAGAGUUUAGUUUCAUUUUCAUUUCAAAACAAACCCCGUUUCUCUAUCUUAAAAUGGCCGCUGAACUUUAACCUUUCGAUUGACACCUCUUUUGGACCAAUUGGAGCCUCUGGUCGCUGUUACUAGGCAGAAAUAGCCAAAGACUACCCAGUAAAAUGAAAGGUACCUCCUUCUCUUUGACUGACAGCAGAGCAAACCAGUAAUGUCAGAGCUUGAAAAUGACGGUCUUAUCUGAUAGUCAAUGAAUUUCUGAAAACAAUGAUAUGCGGCUUUAGUGGGAAGACUAUUGCUUGUGGAGAGGAGAGACGAGCGCAAAGCUAGAUAUCCAGGCGUGCGUCAUGCGUAAUAGCGAAGCUGAAGGGGGACUGUUUGCUAAACAAGUUUGUAGAGAGUUUUAGAGGAAAACAAUGUCGAAUUGAACGCGGAAAACACACUUCUCACACUAAGAACGUGUGAAACAAUCCACUCGGUAGCAGCAGUGAUAAGUUCGUAGCAUCUCUGGACAACAGGGUGGUGUUUUAUCCAUUGACUGGACGGAGAUGUUAUGGAUAUGAGCGACCACACUCAAACGAUCAUCUAACGUUGAAUCAGAUGAAGACUGGACAAGAUGACAGCAGGAGAGGAACCCUACCAGCAGAAGAUAAGAUGUUAUAGCUAAAUAGAUAUACUAAAUAGUUUGACAUAUAAUAGUGUGAGAUAUAUAGCCUUUUUGCCAAAUCGCGAUUGUCAUAAUGUGUUGCAUGUUGCCAACAACAUCUAAGAAAUAUAAUUAUAAAAUUUGUAAAUAGUUUGAGAUAUAUAGUGUGAGUUCUAAUAAUAAAUUGUUUUAAUACCAUAGCAUUUUGUAUCUUUAUUUGGACAAAAUUUAGUUUCAAGAAUUGAAGAAACACUAUAAUGUGUUAAUGCUUCAGUUACUAUAUGUCAGCAAUAUUUGACAGUAAAUCUGUAUAAGGGAUAGAAUAGCUCUACGUGUAACCUUUCAUUAGAGCCCAAAAUUAUGACUGUACAUUAAAGCAUUGAAGAAUAACAGCCUUUUAUGUGUUGAUGGUUCCAAAGGGCCAUUUGGAGUCUCCAAGUGGCUUUUUUUGGGGAGCGCCUAGACAUAAACUCAAAUAAACAUGUGUAAAACACU